ACGUUGUGCUGGUAAGUGAAGGGUCACAGGUACAAAUCCAGCCCCAGCCACAAUCUUUCGUUUAGGAUUCAGACAGAAAGACAUGUUUUUUAGGAUUCAUCCAUCGGGAGGGUUUAAUCCUUUCGCACGUAAAUUCUAAAUGAUUUAACCGAUGAAGCGUAAAUUUUUUUUCGGCGGUUAUUUUACAACGUAUCAAAUUUUAAACUCCAGUGUAACGCACCAAGCUUGUGACGUGAGACUCUGGGCAGUAACAUGACGGUUCACCGCUGACUCGUCUCGCUUGGAGCUGGAGAACAGAGGUUUUCUUCACUUUAAAACCUUCCUCAUUGGUUUAAAACAUGUAUAAAUUAUAAUAAAUGUUUUAACCAACGGUUUAUAUUGACAUUUAUUUAUUUUAUUUUCUCGGGCUUUGAAUUUUGCUCCUACGUGCAACUUUUCUGCCAACGCAUUACAGGAUUGCUACUGGCCCUGAACAUGGCUGGGAGAAUGUGGGACUGGUAUACCAGUAUCCUUCCUCACAUAAGGCGGCGGUAAGGUCAUUACAUCAGACAUAGAGAUCCCAAACCCCUCAUAAUGGUGAAUGUCUGUGGUGGAUCUGAUAUAAAUAAUCAUGUCUUGCAAAUACUCAGUGUGCAUGUCACACACACAAAAAAAUAAUGUGAAAUCAGUUUCUUUUUGCAGGUGUAAAUGAUGAAAUGCCAGCCUGCCCUUCCACUUUGUCACUGAUUCAUCCAUAGAGAGGAACAGAAACAUGCUGAAAGGAGUGUUAUUCACUUACAGACCUAGCAGUGCCACCUGGUCCUACUACCCUGGGAAGUGGUUUGAGGAACUUCAGAGGGAAAAUGCCUGGCUUUCUGAGGCAGGACAGCCCCUGAACUGUGCUCCUCAAGCAGCCCUCUCAUCAGGCUGAUCCUGAAUUGCAGGGAAUCAGUGGAGUGCCCUAUCAAUAGUAAGGGGCCUGUAAGGACAUGACAAAGGACCCAGAGAUCCCAACUCCCUCGUAGUGGUGGAUCCAGUGUAACCAGUGGUGUUUUCUCCAGCUGUUCUGCGGAAUAGCGGUUUGUUUCCUGAUCUCCUCUGCAUUAGACCUCUGUGGGAGAUGCAAGUGGGGUAAAAUUGCUGGUAAUCCUCCAGCAGGAAGAGCUUACCUCCUCCACCUUUUUUGGUGUGGUGUGUGCAGGCGAUGAAGCAGUAACUGAGACAUCUUCAGAAUUAAAAAAAUAUAUAUUUCUCUGAUCUCAUCUAUUAAUUGUUUUCUUUUAAAAGCAGACCUCUUUUUCUGUGGCAAUGGUUUAAAAAGACCGUUCUAGCAACUGUUUUAUAUAUUUAAAUGACAAGUGCUUAACCAGUCUCUAUGUAGCUGCUAAACAAUACAACAGCUUUUAUAGUGAGUUUCAGUUAGUUUUGCACUGUUAUACACUGUGGAUUGAGCAGUAAAUAUGUAGUCUGCUGCAUUAGUUUGAAUGCCUGUAACAAAAUAAACAACUGAUUAAAAUAAAAAGAUUGUUCAAGCAGCUCUGUUAGGCAUGCAAAUGGCAUUGCUUAGCCAAUCCCUCUCUGUAGCAGCGACAGCUAAAUAGCGUGAAAGCAAAUUUGAAUUUUAAAAUUUGCCAGUUGAUGACGUCAGACAGGAACGUUCUAAUCAUACCGGUUUAAUGGUACUCCACAGGGACCACUCUGGAAUGAUCAAACCAGUGUUAUGGUACAUGCGAAAGGGUUAACCCCAACCCUCUACUGAUCAAUUAAAUUGUAAAUGAUUUGCCAUUUUGAGGAGGAAUCAGCAUUGCUGCGUGUAGCUAUAUAUAUAUAUAUAUAUAUAUAUUUAUUUCAUAUUUACUACUACCUGUACAAACACGUGUUCAAUAUGAAAAAUCUUUACAUUUUAAUUUUCAUAUUUAGACUACUACCUCUACAAACCCACCCAUUUAAAUAAUUUCAUUUGCACAUUCCUGUAUAAAAACUGCAUACAUACAGUAGUAUUCAUGUAUAUAUUAAUCUAUACAGAAAUACAGCAGCUAGACACAGAAUUACAGGAUAUAUCAACAAAGGUCAAAUUUCUUGUGUGUGUGUGUGUUACCAUGUUUAUACUACAUUGUGGGGACCAAAUGUCCCCACAAGGAUAGUAAAACCCGAGAAAACCUACCUUGUGGGGACCAGCCAGCGGUCCCCAUGAGGGAACUGGCUUAUUAAACAUACUAAAUGAUGUUUUUUUGAAAAUGUAAAAUGCAACAAGGUUUCUGUGAGGGUUAGGUUUAUGGUUAGGGGAUAAAAAUUAUCGUUAGAGCUGUAUAAAAUCCAUAAAAUUUAUGGAAGUCUAUGGAGAGUCCCCACAAUGAUAAAAAAAAAAAAAAAACAUGGUCCUCAAAAGUAUAGCAAAACCUGUACACACACACACACUCACUUACACAUACCAAGUAUUGAGAAUCAACCUGUUCUGUGAGGACAUUUCUGGUUGUGAGCACCUUUUGGGUCAUCCUCACAAGGGAAAUGGCAUAUUAAAUUGUUUUUGGUUUUUUUUAUUUAAAAAUGCAAAAAGGUUUCUGUUAGGGUUAGGUUUAGGGUUAGGGUUAGGGGAUAGAAUCUAUAGUUUUUACAGUAUAAAAAUCAUUAUGUCUAUGGAGGGUCCUCACAAGUAUAGCAAAACCAACGUAUAUGUGUGUGUGUGUGUGAUUUUUACAUUUUUAUUUUUUAGAUAAAUAAAAGAUUUAGACUACUACCUCUACAAACCCAUACCCAUUUAAACAAUUUCAUUUGCACAUUCCUGUAUAAAAACUCUGCAUACAUACAGUAUACUAUUUAUCUAUACAUUAAUCUAUACAAUACAGAAAUACAGCAGCUAGACACAGAAUUACAGGAUAUAUCAACAAAUUUCUUGUGUGUGUGUGUGUGUGUGUGUGAGAGAGAGAGAGAGGGAGAGAGAGAAAACCUCAACAUCUGGCCUCUUUUUGUGCAUGAGCUUGAAAACAACAUACCCAAAGUAAAACUCUUCCAGUUCUUGAACCCUUUGGUCUACAAACACAAACUUGGGCUCGUUUGAAAUUAGACACUUAGACAUUUGUUAUUCAAGAGUAAAAAUGUAUCAUUGUAGUAUAAAAACAAAAAUUAGUUAGAGCUAUUCAGAUAUUUUGAACAGUGACCGCAAAUAUUAUUCAUAAAAUACUUUUUUUUUUAUGCGCAAUGCCCCAAAAACACAUCUGAUACAAAGCCACAUGUCUGAUGAAGGUAUGACACAAUUUUGAAGUCAAUAUGACCAACACUCUUUGUUUCAUAAUGAUUUAUGUACUUCCAAAAAAAAAAAAAAAAGGCCACUUGGAGGCACCAAUAGACCACUUGUAGUAACUCCGUAACCCAAUGACCAAAGUGGUUCAAAACACACAAUUUGUUUAUAAUUCAAUGUAAGAAA